rnacentral:rRNA from 1 species
GACGAACGCUGGCGGCGUGCUUAACACAUGCAAGUCGAACGGAAAGGCCCUGCUUUUGUGGGGUGCUCGAGUGGCGAACGGGUGAGUAACACGUGAGUAACCUGCCCUUGACUUUGGGAUAACUUCAGGAAACUGGGGCUAAUACCGGAUAGGAGCUCCUGCUGCAUGGUGGGGGUUGGAAAGUUUCGGCGGUUGGGGAUGGACUCGCGGCUUAUCAGCUUGUUGGUGGGGUAGUGGCUUACCAAGGCUUUGACGGGUAGCCGGCCUGAGAGGGUGACCGGCCACCAUGGGACUGCGAUACGGCCCAGACUCCUACGGGAGGCAGCAGGGGGGAAUCUUGCACAACGGGCGGAAGCCUGAUGCAGCAACGCCGCGUGCGGGAUGACGGCCUUCGGGUUGUAAACCGCUUUCGCCUGUGACGAAGCGUGAGUGACGGUAAUGGGUAAAGAAGCACCGGCUAACUACGUG